rnacentral:lncRNA from 1 species
CCAUCUUCCGUCCUUGUCUAAAGGGGGGUUGAAGCGUCUCCCUUUGGCCAUUUCCUGCAGGAAGCUGAAGGUGGCUGAGGCUGGCUCCCUUACCUCUCCAUUGCCUCAUAAGCUCUACACAUCUGGGAAGCCACUCCUCCUCCUUGUUCCUGAUCUUUAAUUCUCAGCCUCUACCAGGAGGGACUCCAGGAGUGCCCACGGUUGUCAUGGAAUCAGAGCCCCCAUCACAGUGGGGAGCAGUGCAGGUCUUCUAGCCCCCUGAGUCAUAGAAUCAGAGCCCCCAUCACAAUGGGGAGGAGUGCGGAUCUUCUAGCCCUCUGAGGGUCCCUGCUACUGGUGCCUUGCACUGCUGCUCCCCAGUGUAUGAGGCAGACGGCCACCAGGUCCCAGCUGAGGAAGCCCCACAAACAGGUCACACAGCACUGAUGGCUCAGAGAGGUGGGCUCCUGGAUGUGAUGCCUGCGGUGGAGCAGUCUUCUUGCAACCAUGAGGCCAAAAGUCACACGGAGGGAAAGUUGUGGAAUUAUGCGUGCUAUGCAGGAAUGUUUUCACACAUGCGUCUGUCCAUGCCCACCUGUGAUGUCCCCACAAACACUCAGACCCUCAACACACAAGCAGGCUUCAGUUUGUCGUUCCACCAAAUGAAAGUUUCACCUCCACAUUCACGUCCACAAAUCCUGGACUUCACUGGCAUGUGGGGAAAGCCAAUCCAUCUGCGUGUAAAAUGUGGAGCAGCUGAGAAAUUCUCAGGCAUCUGAACUAUAAAACACAUUUUCAUUUCACCCUGCAAGGUAAACUAUCUGGAUUCUUUCUGCAAACAGCAACCGAAUCGAGGUAACUGAAUUGCACUUUUUUAUUAUGAUUCAUGAUUCAUAUGGUACUAAUGGAAAUUGUAAUGGAUGCACAACACAUUUGCAUGCCAUCUUGAAAAGUACUCGGGCAUCUGUAAUGUGAAGCACAUUUUUUGUUUUACCCUCUGUUGCAAACUCUCUGGAAAAUUAACUGCCUCUCUCUCCCUUCCACUCAAGAAAACAAUUCCUGGACCAAGAAAAGCAAGACUAAUUGAAAGACAAAAAGGAUCACUUGACAACUUGGAAGUUUAUUCACUUGAAAGGUAGAAACUCGCAGUAAUGUUUAUAAAAACCCUUGACUGUGCUGACAGGGACAACACCCCAAAUUCAAAUUACGUGAGACGUUGUCAUUGAAAUGACUGCAUUUUUGAUAACUUUGCUGAAACAUGAAUUGCUAUAAACUUUUCAAACCAUUUCUAGAGAAGUUUUUGGUUAAUUGAUAAUUUGGAGAAUUGGUCGCUCAAAGAAGGGCUGCAAUCUAGCAAAUCAUUCUGGAUACAGGGACGGACACAGUGAAUACGGUGCUGUCCUCAUGAAGGUAGCUAUCUUGUAGAGAGACAGACAGUACCACACAAAUAGUUGGUUAUAAUUGUGAGAGAUAUGGGGUGCCCCAAGAGCGUGUGAUAGAGGGACCUGAAUGAAUCUGAAAGGUGACCCAGGAGGGUGAUGAAGUAAUGAAGUGAAGAACGACAGUAAUGAGCCAAGGAAGAGGGGAGAGCAUUCUAGGCGGAGGUACAGGCUGGUUGGAGGCGCUGGUGUUGGGAGGAGCUUGGCUCACUCAAAAAGCUAAAAGGAGGCCAAGGUGACUUCUGUGCCUAGAGGACAGUACUGGUUGGAGGAGCGGAAGGCUAGCCUCAAGGCAGUCCGAGAGCGGUGGACAGGCACCUUGCCCUCUGUGACCUUGACCAGCUGGCCAAUGUCAGUAGGAGGCAACACCAACAAAAAAGCCAGGUGAGA